GUGGCUACUCACAGGCCUUGAAGUCCUGGGCUCAAGCAAUCCUCCCACCUCAGGCUCCUGAAUAGCUGAGAACACUACAUGUAGUCUUACAUAGACCAGCAUUACUGUCUUCACAAUGGGAGAUGCAGAACAGCUGGCAGGAAUCAAUGUACUCUGUGUUUCUCAUGGGAGAAAGAAAGAACACUGAAGGAAACAAGGACUGUGCCAGGAGAGGUGAUUAAGCAAUUAGAAUAUUUUGAAGUCUAAAAUAACUGUAGUAUCAGGAGAACAACUGAACGAGAAAAUAAAUUACUGAGAGUAAAGCAGUCUGUAGAUUUUGGGAAGAUUCGUAGGUGUGUGAGAAACAAGACAUUUUGGAAUCUUAAUGUAAUCUGAGAAGUAAAAUAGACCUGUAUUCCUGUCA
rnacentral:lncRNA from 1 species